rnacentral:rRNA from 1 species
UACGUAGGGUGCAAGCGUUUGUCCGGAAUUAUUGGGCGUAAAGAGCUCGUAGGCGGUCUGUCGCGUCGGCUGUGAAAACCCGGAGCUCAACUCCGGGCCUGCAGUCGAUACGGGCAAACUGGAGUGUUGCAGGGGAGACUGGAAUUCCUGGUGUAGCGGUGAAAUGCGCAGAUAUCAGAGGAACACCGGUGGCGAAGGCGGGAUCUCUGG